rnacentral:rRNA from 1 species
CAACAGGGAUUGCCCCAGUAACGGCGAGUGAAGCGGCAAAAGCUCAAAUUUGAAAUCUGGCUCUUCGGGGUCCGAGUUGUAAUUUGUAGAGGAUGCUUCGGGUGUGGCCACGACCUAAGUUCCUUGGAACAGGACGUCAUAGAGGGUGAGAAUCCCGUCUUGGGCCGUUGGUCCACGCCCGUGUGAAGCUCCUUCGACGAGUCGAGUUGUUUGGGAAUGCAGCUCUAAGCGGGUGGUAAAUUUCAUCUAAAGCUAAAUAUUGGCCGGAGACCGAUAGCGCACAAGUAGAGUGAUCGAAAGGUUAAAAGCACCUUGAAAAGGGAGUUAAACAGCACGUGAAAUUGUUGAAAGGGAAGCGCUUGCGGCCAGACUCGAGCGCAGGGUUCAGCGGGUGCGUGUCACCCGUGCACUCCCUGUCGCCCGGGCCAGCAUCAGUUCUAACGGCCGGUCAAAGGCCCCCGGAAUGUGUCGUCUCUCGGGACGUCUUAUAGCCGGGGGUGCAAUGCGGCCCGUCGGGACUGAGGAACGCGCUUCGGCUCGGAUGCUGGCAUAAUGGCCGUAAGCGGCCCGUCUUGAAACACGGACCAAGGAGUCUAACAUCCACGCGAGUGUUCGGGUGUCAAACCCGUGCGCGCAGUGAAAGCGAACGGAGGUGGGAGCCUUAGGGCGCACCAUCGACCGAUCCUGAAGUCUUCGGAUGGAUUUGAGUAGGAGCGUGGCCGUUGGGACCCGAAAGAUGGUGAACUAUGCCUGAAUAGGGUGAAAGCCAGAGGAAAACUCUGGUGGAGGCUCGCAGCGGUUUCUGACGUGCAAAUCGAUCGUCAAAUUUUGGGCAUAGGGGCGAAAGACUAAUCGAA